AAAAGCUUUCUUUAAUUGAAUAAUUGAAUUUAAUUUUUUAGUGCAAAAGCAAAAAUAAAAAUUAGGGACAAGAAGACCCUAUGAAUUUUUUAUUAAAUUUUAUAAAACUUUAUAUAAAAUUUAAUUUAAUUGGGGUGAUGAAAAAAGAAUAAAUAUCUUUUUUUUUAAAAAAAAAUUGGUUCCGUUUUUAGCGAUUAAAUGAAAAAAAUACUCUAGGGAUAACAGCGUAAUAAUUUUGGAUAGUUCAUAUANAUAAAAUANUUUGCGACCUCGAUGUUGGAUUAGGAUUCUUUUUUGGNGAANAAGUUAAAAAAA
rnacentral:rRNA from 1 species